GCGUAAGCAGUAAUAGAUUUCUGAGUAUUUUGUAGUAUUCACACUGAUAAAUGUACACCAAGCAUCAAUAAGCAUUACGCUUUGUUGAAACCCUUAAAGACUGUCACCUUUUGAUGGGUUUUACUAAGCUUCGGUUGCCUUCUGGUGGCCAGGGAAAGGUCGUUUUUUACUUGCCUGAACCUGACCCUCUUGGACUCUGCCAUCUUC